rnacentral:rRNA from 1 species
UACAGAGGUCUCAAGCGUUGUUCGGAUUCAUUGGGCGUAAAGGGUGCGUAGGCGGCGCGGUAAGUCGGGUGUGAAAUCUCGGGGCUUAAUUCCGAAACUGCAUUCGAUACUGCCGUGCUUGAGGACUGGAGAGGAGACUGGAAUUUACGGUGUAGCGGUGAAAUGCGUAGAUAUCGUAAGGAAGACCAGUGGCGAAGGCGGGUCUCUGGACAGUUCCUGACGCUGAGGCACGAAGGCCAGGGGAGCAAACGGG